UUCAUUUUUACAUGUUGAAGGAUUAGUUUGUUACAUGAGCAUCCGAAUCAUUAAAAUCCGGAUCCGACCUGAGUCACAUUUCGAACCCCACCUAAACCCCCGCGGCGCAACCCUGCCCUAAUCGCAGCGACCGCUCUUUUUCUUCGGCGACUGCGGCGUCUCCUCAGUGAACGACGGCUGCCUUCCUCUCCAUCGGGAAACAGCGACAGUUGGCGGUGCCGUCUUCCCCUCCCGCCUGUUUAACUUUUCCACUUCCAAAGACCAGAGUUCAGAGCACAGAUCCAACUUUUUAGUGGUCAAGCCCCUUCAAUCAUGUGAGCUUUCCUCAGAAAAGGCUGCAAAAACACCCAAGUAUCACACCUGUCGUAAAAAUUCUUCUAAUCUUUUCAUUGAGUUCUUUAAGCAGAACGGUUGGAGCGAUGUACAAGUCAUGAAACUUACCCAGAAGGCACCCCGGUUGCUGUGUGCUAAGGUAGAGACUACACUGAAGCCCAGGAUGAGAUCUUUGCAGGACAUGGGAUUUUCUGUUACCGAAAUAGUUCAGUUGGUUUCAAAAUUUCCGACUGUACUCUAUCAUAAUAUCCAACCGAAUUUGAACUUCUUGAAGUCACUACUUGGUUCUAAUGAGAGGUUACUGAAAGCCUGCAGUAGGAACCGAUUUCUUCUUACUUCUAGCUUAGCUCGGAAGAUAGAGCCCAAUAUAUCUCUCUUAAGGGAAUGUGGCAUCAGUGAUGAAUGCAUCGCGCGUAUGGUGGUGUUGAAUUCGGGUUUUGUUGUUCGAAAAAACAAAUUUAUUAAGGAAGUUAUGGAACAUGUUGAGGAGUUGGGUGUGCCACAUGAUUGUGGAAUGUUCCCUCAUGCACUUCUUACUGUCUUGAACUCGAGCAGAUCGAAGUGUGAUGCUACCUUUGCAACCUUGAAGAGCUUUGGUUGGUCCCAGCCAGAUAUCGUUGCCAUACUCAGGAAGAACCCAUGUGUUUGGAGACUCUCAAAGAAGAACAUAUCUGACAAAAUGACAUUCCUGACGAAGGAAGCUGGUUGUGAGCUGCAGUAUAUCAUUCGCAAUCCUGGGAUUCUUGCAUAUAGCUUGGAGAAGAGGUUGAGACCGCGACAUGAAGUUAUAAAUUUUCUUGAGCAGAAUAAAUUGCUGGAUAAAGGACAUCGCCUUUUAUAUGUCAUGCCACUAACUGAGCAGAAGUUCAUGAACAAAUUUCUUUUCCCGUACAAGGAGAAAUUUACUUCACUCUAUAAUUCCUAUGUUGCUGCUGUGCAGGGAAAGCACCAUGUUGUCCCUGAAAAUUAGGAUUGCAAGUGCUUCCUCGAGAUAAAAGUGUAAACCUAUUGCAUACUGACUGCACUAUUUAAUCAUCUUAAAUUUGUGACAAUUUAUAAUCUUCA